CCGUGCCGGCAGGUCGCCGCUACUUGUUGCUUCGGCUCGCGCCGGGUGCGCUCGGUUCGGUUCGCCACGUCUCGUCGCGGCUCGGUUCGCAUCUCGGCCGCAGUCGGGCUGCGCACCCGGAAGUGGCAGCUGCGGAGCGACCGGUGCGUAGGGAUUCGUGCGUAGUGGUUGCUCAAGCGCGCGUGCCGUGUGCGCAUCUGCGUCGCGGUUGACAGCUGUGCAGUGUCAAGGUUGCCGCCGCAGCCGUGGCGUGGCGAGUUUCGCGUCAGUGAAGUGCUCAGCUCUCUGCGCCACUGCGAAGUGAUCCGUGUGUGACAGUGUUACCGACACACUAGUCUAAAUGAAGAACGAGGAUUUCCGCUUCUACAAGAUCUGUCGGGUCUAAAAAGUCGCUGGAUUAGGAGCGCUAGACACAAAUUUUGGAUGGAAAGCUCACGCUUUGAAUUGAUGUUAAAGCGAAUGUGGAAGAUUUACUUAAUCAGUGCUCCUUAGGUGGUUCAAGUCGCUUGUCUACUCAACAUACGCAGACUGAGCGUGCAGUAGUGGUUCAGCAGCUACGAGAAUCUGUCGCCUAGCUUUCGUCUGAGGAAAAGAGUGGCGUGCCGUUUGAAAAUUGUAGUGCUUCUUGGUGAACCGAUUUAGAUCAGUGUGAAAGCAUUGAUUGACUGUCAUCUGUUGUUUCGGCGAGAAAGUGGAAGUGAGAAUGUCCAACUGGGAUCGACUGCCGAUGUAUCUCUAAAUUCGUCGCUGGUGGACGUGUCGAAUCGCCUUGGAAUGGACUGCCUCGUAAAUUUUACAGUGAAAUCGGGAAGAGCAAACUAGUUUGAUUUGUGAUCAUUGAGUGGUCGAGCUCCACGCGAGGUGCAGAGCACCACUGUAGGUCGACAGUGGGCGGUUGGGACAAGGUUCUGUUUCAGGAGUAAGACUGUCCUGAAUCAAGUCCUAGAAUCACCAGUGGAUCAACUUUGGCAGUACACUUGUGUUUUGGCCUCAGGUUGGGUAUCAGCAGGAGGUGGUGCAGUGUCGGGUGCCACGUUGCUAGUAGAUCGUACCCGGAGGACAACCGCACACUGGUGCUAGCUUUCGGCACCAGACACUGGGAUCCCCAGUGAGUCAACUUAGGGACUACACUGGUGAUUUGGCUAACGGCGGGAGGUGGUGCAGUGUCGGGUGAGGGUGUGAUGGUGAUCGUGGAGUGCUGGUGCCGGGGGAGGAGGCGCCGGUGACGCGAUGCGGACCGCCGGGUGCCCGCCGUGCGCAGACCUGGGGGCGAAGCUGCGCUGCCGCGUCUGCGAGCGCCUGCAGCAGCAGCACCAGCAGCUGGUG